rnacentral:rRNA from 1 species
UACGGAGGGUGCAAGCGUUAAUCGGAAUUACUGGGCGUAAAGCGCGCGUAGGCGGUUUGAUAAGUCGGAUGUGAAAGCCCCGGGCUCAACCUGGGAACUGCAUUCGAUACUGUCUGACUAGAGUAUGGUAGAGGGAAGUGGAAUUUCAGGUGUAGCGGUGAAAUGCGUAGAUAUCUGAAGGAACAUCAGUGGCGAAGGCGACUUCCUGGACCAAUACUGACGCUGAGGUGCGAAAGCGUGGGGAGCAAACAGG